rnacentral:lncRNA from 1 species
UCAGAACGACCUCAUUUCGCAGAGGUGUAUUAUUCUCCUACUGUAUGCAUGGCUCUGUGCGGAUUACCAAGGGAAAGGUCACUACCCCAAGGAGUGUGCAAUCCAGCUGGGAGAUAAGACAAGCACGCAUGACAUUUCAGUAACAGCUACAAACAGCUACAGAGUGCGGUGGCGCCAGCACAGAGCUCUGCUCAACGUCCCUCUGUGCUUUCACGAUGCUGAUGGAUUAUGAAGAUGAGGAAGCGGAUGCAUAGCAAGUUUAAAUAGCUUGCAGAAGGACACACAGUUUGCAAGUGAAGGAGCUCAAAUUCAAAGACUGGCAGUCUGCAUCCAGAGUUGAUCAUCUUAAAUACCAUGCUGAACCGGUUGCUCUCAAAGUCUAAACAGUAUUUUUUACAAUAAGAUAUCCUUUUGUAGGUCAACGAAUAGUUUCUAAUUCUUUUUAAAAUAAAAUACAAUGAACUGAAUACAAUUUAAUGCAUCAGAGUAAAUUUUACAUAGCAAAGUAUGUAUUAUUUUCUUUCAGCUAUGCAAUUCCACUAGUAUGAGGUAUCUACUGUAGUGAAACUCACAGAAACAGAAAG